GUAGGUGGCAAGCGUUGUCCGGAAUUAUUGGGCGUAAAGCGCGCGCAGGCGGUUCUUUAAGUCUGAUGUGAAAGCCCACGGCUCAACCGUGGAGGGUCAUUGGAAACUGGAGAACUUGAGUACAGAAGAGGAAAGCGGAAUUCCACGUGUAGCGGUGAAAUGCGUAGGGAUGUGGAGGAACACCAGUGGCGAAGGCGGCUUUCUGGUCUGUAACUGACGCUGAGGCGCGAAAGCGUGGGGAGCAAACAGGGAUUAGAUACCCUGGUAGUCCACGCCGUAAACGAUGAGUGCUAAGUGUUAGGGGGGUUUCCGCCCCCUUAGUGCUGCAGCUAACGCAUUAAGCACUCCGCCUGGGGAGUACGGCCGCAAGGCUG
rnacentral:rRNA from 1 species